UGUAAAAGGUGUUUGUUCACUUCCUGGUGUGUAAAAGGUGUUUGUUCACUUCCUGGUGUGUAAACAGUGUUUGUUCACUUCCUGGUGUGUAAAAGGUGUUUGUUCACUUCCUGGUGUGUAAAAGGUGUUUGUUCCCUCCUGGUGUGGAAAAGGUGUUUGUUCACUUCCUGGUGUGGAAAAGGUGUUUGUUCACUUCCUGAUGUGUAAACAGUGUUUGUUCACUUCCUGGUGUGUAAAUGGUGUUUGUUCACUUC